CAGAUCCAUCAGAUCCAUCAUCACAUCCAUCAGAUCCAUCAUCAGAUCCAUCUACUCGAAGGCCUUUUAUCAUUGGAGUGGUCAUGUUCUCUCUGACUCUGCUGUUGGUGAUCACUGCCCUUUACUUCUACUAUAAGGCCAGCAGGGGGCAGAAGCCGGACAAACCGAGGAACAUUGUGCUGGUUUAUUAUAAGCGGCUUUUUUCUGCAGCUGAAGGAGGGCUGACUGAAGAGGAAGGAGCAUAGAGAGCAGAGUAACACCUCCAAGGAUCUCAUCUCACAUGCAGAUGGAUUUUAUUAUUCGACUUCCCUUUAACUGUUGUCUAAGCCAUGUCUUCAUUCAGAGGUACUGCGAGGUUGUCUGAGCUCUCAACUCUGAAAUACGAUUCAGGGGACGUGAUUUGGAAAAUCUGACCUCCAAAUUCAAAUGGAACGCAUGAUUAUGAUUAACCUUGUUAUGCACAAUCACAUUAUAAACAUUUCUGUCAGGAGAACCUGGGCUAUCAGAAUAUGUAUGCUGCAGGGAUGUCACAUUAAUGUAUAAACUGUUUUAUUACUAUAAAUACAAGCGAGAAAACUAAACGGAAAUGUAUUGAAAUCACACAGAGCAAUAAUUAUUAAUUACUAAUAUAUGACAGAACAAAACACUAAACACAGAAAUGUAGUACUAGUACUACUUUAAUAAAGUACUUUCAGGUGUUUGCUGGAGGUUCAACACAGAGAGUUGAAAUGAUGAAGAUCUGUGAUAAAUGUUUCUUUAUUAUCUGUUCAGAGGAAAUAAAUCAUCUUCAAUAAACGGUGAAACUCUGUGAA